CCUUGGCGUCAUAGCAGCCUGAGGGCUCUGGAGCCCCAAAGUCAAGCAGGUUCAAACCUGUUUGAGGCUUGGAUGGGGGACUGCAUGGGGAGACUGGGGCCUGGAGGC
ensembl:rRNA 5S_rRNA 5S ribosomal RNA